UAUGUAAAUUGCAAAUGUAAAAAUGGCUUCAACAAAGCAGAAUAAUAAUGAUAAUAUUAAAAGAAUUUUAGAUGACAAAGAAAGUCCUCCAAUCAAUGCAUGUUUGUUGUAGAAAGAACAGUAAUUGAUACCUAUUUUGUAAUCAGUUUAUUCUCACCAAACCCACUACAUCUAAGAAAAGUUAGAAAAUCCAUGCUGCAAAAAAAUUUGUGAUGUUUGAGCUAAAAUAAGGUCUUUCAAAGCCAAAUCCUAGAAGGAAAAAAUUUCUAGCUGGCCAAAAAAGAACCCACUUGGUGUGUAACACAGCUAGGCUGAAUACAUUGCAGCCUACAUUUAAAUCUAGUAUAAAGAGAUGCUUAGUUCACACUUCACAGCCUUUUCCAAGUACUGCAAGUGGAAAGCAAUGGCUCCAUAAAUCAAGUAUAAAUACACUAUUAUCCCAGUACAUUGUAUAAAAGAUAACAAAUUGAAAAACAGUUCCAAUGACUCUCUGACUGAAGCAAAGAAGUCAUCUAUAGUAUAUCAGACAGUAUUAUCCCAACACAUGUUUAAAGAACAAAAUUUCAUAUACAAUUCUGAGAAACGUGUAUGGUUCUCAUGCCAUUGCUAUAGCUAAACCAUUGCAACAGCUAAACUAAUAAGACUGAUACUUCACAUCAGUUUGACAUAAACAUACUUGAAGGUCUAACCCUACCCAAGUUUGGCAUUUUCAAUCCAGAGAGAGACCAUGUGCUAUAAUUAUUUGAGUAAUGCUUUAUGGGAGAUUAAUGAACUGCACAUGCAAGGCAAUUAGGCAAUGCCUGUGCACGAAUGGCACACCUUGAACCACAGCUAAGUAAAGAAAAUGGAAUUAGGCGAUAGUUUCACCAUAUUCAGGAGCAACAUCUCAGGAUCAUGAUUGAUAUUCAAUUUUAGUAUCUCGCUUCCUAACAUUAAUACCUAGAUUAGUCAUUGCUAUCUCAUUACCUGUCAAACAUGAGAAAUGCUAUAGUCACAACUUUUACAAUCUCCAAAACAAUUCUUUAUUGUCCCAAGGCAAGUCCUUGUUUGAAAGUGAGUUACUACUCUACAAAUAUUUGCAACUAGGCUGACCUAUUCUGGCAUAGGCGCCCCAAAUAUGAUCAAGUACACGUAAAAACCAAAUCUCAUUCUGAGAUCCUCAUCUUAAUUCAGGAAACUCAAAAUUAUAAGAUUACUUUUAAAGAAAAGGCUAAGGAUCAAUUCAGGAAUUCAAGAUUGUUCACAAGUUCAAAAGAUCCCAAAAAAUUUCAUGGAAUUCAUUUGCAAUUCCACAUGUCAUGUUGCAAAUACAAAUUUGAUAAAAUUCAAUAGCAUUCCACUACCAACAUAUCAAAAGCAUAGAAAUGCCAAUUGACAGCACUUCACAGUUCACUUCUCAGGACAGUUUGUAGCCUUGAAAGAAUGAAAGCUUGACUAUAUCAAUUUAAAUGUUUACACAAACUGCAAUAAAACCCAUCAAAGAGCAGAAAAUGAUCACUUACAUCCCAGAGAAUGCAAGAAUCCCAG
rnacentral:misc_RNA from 1 species